rnacentral:rRNA from 1 species
UACGGAGGGUGCAAGCGUUGCUCGGAAUUAUUGGGCGUAAAGGGUAGGUAGGUGGUCUUAUUUGUCUGGGGUGAAAGCCUUGAGCUUAACUCAAGAAGUGCCCCAGAAACGGUAAGACUCGAGUCCUGGAGAGGGUUGUGGAAUUCCCGGUGUAGCGGUGAAAUGCGCAGAUAUCAGGAAGAACACCUAUGGCGAAGGCAGCUCUCUGGGACGGUACUGACGCUGAGACGCGAAAGCGUGGGGAGCGAACAGG